CUCUUAUCCAGAGAGGUGGAGGGACUGGCCCGAUGAAACCCGGCAACCCUCACCUUGGGGAUUAACGCGCCAGAUAGGCGAAACCCCGGGGUGAAAGGUGCCAAUUCCUGCGGGACGGGUUUGUCCUGAGAGAUAAGAG
rnacentral:ncRNA from 2 species